CCCUAGAGAGCUGAUAAAUUCAACACAAAUUCAGCCAUGCAGCAAAGGCCUUAUUCUGUCUCUUAUCUGGGGAAGUUUUCAUAGUGUCAUGGAGGGAAAUGCACGUGCACACACAUAUACACACAUCAGAUGAAACCCUCUCUUCGGAGAAGCCAGCUACAGGAAAUUGACUUAUGCACAGGAACUUGCUAAUCUCUUUUGUCACAUUUGGAUUGUUUCUGCUGCCUCAGUCACCACGCACACUAAACCCAGCCAUCUCGGGUUGGAUUCUACACCAGCCCAACUCUCAAAAUUUUAGCUCUUCCAGUGUGAAACGGUUAUAUUCUUGGGGAGGAAGAAAAGAUUGAUCCUAGAAGGAAAUCAUAGCAGUGAAAGGGCUUGGGCGGCUUUUGUUUUUACUUACCUGCGCCGAACACAUUUGACUUGUGGAGUCAGUCAUUUUGGUGUCAAGAAAUUUCUUCGUCAUUCUACAACAGGUGACUUGGAGACAGUUGUUCUGUGGGUGAACUUUUGGGAGCCAUUGAUCCAGAGCUCUCCUACCAGGGCCCCCAGCACUGAGAUGUUGAAGACCAGCCUUUGGAGGUUUCCAUAGUAGAUGGUGCAUCUCCCUUGGAUGGACUGCAUGAAGUAACAUUCUGCAAAUUGCUGUCAGAGGUCCUAAGAGCACAAAUCCAUCUGGUUUCCAUUCCUCGUUGUUGAAUGGCGUUUGCUUCAGCAGCCCACUGAGGGCUCUUUUCCUCAGAAUUCUGAAUUUGUACCUAGGAAUCCGAGCUGGGAAGAUGCUGAGUUCCAUCAAGUGUGUGUUGGUGGGAGACUCUGCUGUGGGGAAAACCUCUCUGUUAGUGCGCUUCACCUCAGAGACCUUCCCAGAGGCCUACAAGCCCACAGUGUAUGAAAAUACAGGUGUAGACGUCUUCAUGGAUGGCAUCCAGAUCAGCCUGGGUCUCUGGGACACAGCUGGCAAUGAUGCCUUCAGGAGUAUCCGCCCUCUGUCCUACCAGCAGGCAGACGUGGUGCUGAUGUGCUACUCCGUGGCCAACCAUAACUCCUUCCUGAACCUGAAGAACAAGUGGAUUGGUGAAGUCAGGAGCAACCUGCCCUGCACCCCCGUGCUCGUGGUGGCCACCCAGACUGACCAGCGGGAGAUGGGGCCCCACAGGGCUUCCUGCGUCAACGCUAUAGAAGGAAAGAGACUGGCCCAGGAGGUGAGAGCCAAGGGCUACCUGGAGUGCUCAGCCCUCAGCAACCGGGGGGUACAGCAGGUAUUUGAGUGUGCCGUCCGGACUGCCAUCAACCAGGCCAGGAGACGCAACAGAAGGAGGUUCUUCUCCGUUAACGAGUGCAAGAUCCUCUAAACCCCAAAGACUCCACCCAGCAGUCACUUACCGCAAAAACUAACUGGGACAGGGAGAGCAGGCAAGCCAGCAAGCGUCGAUGCUCUUUCUGGGCACGUCCUAAGCAGCCUGAAGCAGCAUGAACAGCAGCAGGAAACCUUUCGGAUACAGUUGUUGAUGAGACUUGGCUACUGGAUGUUUUUACGAAAUACACUGUAUUGAAGAACUCUUUGCCCAUUACAGUUAGAAGAUCCCUUGGGAAACUGUAAUGAAUAUCCCACCUUCGAUUAUAAAACCAAACUGGUCUCCAUAAUUUUGGAUAAUGAAACAAAUACUGCUUAAAAGUACAAUAAAUUCCAAGAAGAAGAAGAAGGAGGAGGAGGACAGAGAAGGAAAGACAAAGAUUUAAUAGGAAAAAAAUGAAGUAAAAAAAAGACAUACGGGACUUCCCUGGUGGCGCAGUGGUUAAGAAUCCGCCUGCCAAUGCAGGGGACACAGGUUCAAGCCCUGGUCCGGGAAGAUCCCACAUGCCACAGGGCAACUAAGCCCGUGCGCCACAACUACUGAGCCUGUGCUCUAGAACCCGCGAGCCACAACUACGGAGCCCACGUGCUGCAACUACUGAAACCCGCACACCUAGAGCCCGCUCUCCGCAAUGAGAGAAGCCACCGCAAUGAAAAGCCGGUGCACCGCAACAAAGAGUAGCCCCCGCUCACUGCAACUAGAGAAAGCCCGAGCAGCAAUGAAGACCCAACACUGCCAAAAAAAAAAAAAAAGACUUAAAAUGCAAGUCCCAUUUUUAUUAUUAGAUUCAAUAGACAUUAUCCAAUUGCUAAAAAACUUUCUAAUCUAAACUCCUGAUUUCUGUGCUUAUCUUGCUGUGGUCUAGUAACAGUCUCAAGACCUGUCUGCCUGGUGUUUGGAUCACACUGCGAGCAGCUAUGAUCUAGUUCACUCAUUUCUUUGCCGGCAAAGUUCAUUCAUUCACUCAUUUAUUCUCUGAAUAAACAUUUGUUAAGCACCUGUUACAGGCAGGGCAUAUAGGUUAAUCCUGACUUUCUCAGGAUUACAGUGACACCAUGAUUAUGUGUUAUUUUUACAUAAUUAAAUUGCAAUCGUCAUGGUAUAUAUCAAUAUAAUAUGAUGUUCACUGUAAUAGCUUUGGAAAGAAAAAUUGUCCCAGACCUGGUCUGGGACAGACCCUUUCUGUGUGUGAUAUAAUUCAAAACCUCUUUCUGGGAAGAAAAUCAAUGCUCCUGAUAAAACACCUAUGCAAUUUUCUGAUCGAUUGCAAUGGUAUUGAGACUUGUUCCAGGAAACCAGUCACCCUCGCACUUCCUUCCCCCCACCCCCAGCUGACCGUCAGACACAGUCUAGUUGACCUUUAACCAGACAGUCUUUUCUUUCCUUUUCUAGUCUGAUUAUCUGGCCAUCCCUAUCAAGUGUGAAUCUUUGAAAUGGACUCCUAGAGGCCUCUUCCCUUGGAGAAAGCCUGCAAGAGUUUGACACAUGAUCAUAUCUAAGGAAGGAGGUGACAAUUCUCAUGGGUUGGUGGAGUUGGCAGGAACCCAUGACCUUGAGCAAGCUUUAUAAUAUUUCUGAGUCUCAGUUUUUUCAUCUAUGAAAUGGAAAGACUAAUACCUCAGGUUGUGAGAAUUAGGUGAGGCAUUGGAUGGAAAGGGCUUGGUAGGUAAGGAGUGCACCAUAAGUGUUCACCAUUUGUUAUGAUGAUGACUGUGGAUUCCUGAUCUCCUUGGAGUCAAAAGCCCUGUGGUACCAGGUUCCUCCUCUGCUCCAAAUCAAGCUCUGGACCUUAGCUUGCUCUAUGCGAUGCCUAGAGGGAACAGACCCACCAAGGGGCUCAGGAAAGGAACUGUCUAGAGCAGCAGAAGCCCAGUUCCUCAGGGGGAGGAGGGGACAGCCUGAAGUGGGUAAGUCAGCCAGGCUUGCAUAUGGGGUAACACUCACAUUUCCCACACUUUGAAAGUUCCCUCUAAGGUAGAGGGGAGGGGAUUAAGCUCGAGUCGCCUUGGGGCCAAUUCUGGCUGAAAGACUUACAGCAGGUGUGUGAUCUGGAAGCCAGCCAAGCAGACUCACCCCACAUCUGUGGGAGAAGGCAGUGGUCUCCUGUGGUUUCAGUCCUGUGGCUGUUACUCAGGCACUGUUUAUGGGCUGCCCUUUUUCACAGCUUUUCUCUUAGCUUGAGGCUGGGGUUGAGGGGAGGAGGGGGGGCUGCUGAAUUCUGCUGGUUCUCUUUCGUCCGUUCUGCUCUUGACAUAAGAAGCACAUGUGUCAUGUAGUGAAUAAUUUUCCUCUUUUAACCUCAAUCUGCUUUUUCUGAGAGAAUGACGUCUGUGUAAGAGGCUCUGGAAGAGGCAGGAGGGGGAGACAGAGGAGGAGUCAAGGGAGGGAGAGGAAGGGAGAUGGGAGUCUGGCCAAUGUCCCCAGACCACUUUAUAUUGUGGAGACUUACAAACUGACCAUUCUCUGCCACGGCCCCCAGGGGUAAAAGGAAGAGGAGGACGCAGGAGAAGAGAAAGAGUGUUUGCGCGUGGUACAGCGAUGCCAGCUGGCAGGGCACCUUUGUGAGGAUUAGAAAUGCUGCCUUCUCUGGGUGCACCUGACCCCGCACCAGCCAGCAGAGAUUGGCAAGCACAGCACAGGCUGGCUUUCAGUCUCCACUGUCCCCUCUGCCUAGAGUUUUGUUCAGUGAACAGCCUGCACAACUGUGACCAGCAGCCCUGACUGGGGGAAGACAGUUCCCAAAUGCAGUGGCAGAUGAGGGCUCACAAGAAACUGAGAUAAGAAGCAAAGAGGUAACACCUGCUCUUGGUUAUGACUACCAUGUCUGGUGGGUAUAAAGCUACAGUCCAUUUCCGGAAAGAAAGCCUUACUACUGGGAAGUCCCUCUACUCAUCGAGUAUAGCUCUUUACUUUCUCCACGAAGCAUCAGUCAAACCCUAUGUAAUCUAGUUCUCCCCCUCCUUUUCCACCAAACUUGGACUCUGUCCCUGUUUCCCCGCCGUAUUGCUUCUUUUGGGCUCCCUAGGAAGGGGCUUCCUGGACUUCAGAGUGAAAUCUCUACCCCCAACAUUUCUGCUACUAAUACUCACUACCACGUACAGGAAAACUCUGGUGCCUUAUUCUGCUGAAUCUUUUUUUAUUUUUUAAUUUUUUUCCUCUUAUCAAAUGACACCUCUUUUAGAAAGAAGGAGAUGAAAAAGCUAAGAGGGUAAAGGAACAUGAGAGUGGAGAAAAUCCUGCCUAGUCACACAUAGUUUUUUGCUUUAAUUUAUUUUCUUACCCCGUGGAGAGAAUGUUUAAAGCUUUCAUCAGAUUGUCAAAGGAGACCAUGAGCCUAAAAUUUCAAGAGCCGCUGCUAUAAAAUGACUCACAGAGUCUAAACAAAAGGGGCAUAGAAAGUUCAGGGAGGGUUUAUUAAAUUUAUUUUAUCCCACUGUCUGAUUUUCAGCAGCUUAUCUAAUUUCUUUCAGACCACGGGCAUGAACACUGCUGCUUAUUCUCCUGCCUGUCCUGGAUGGCCCCCAGAAUCACAUUAUUCUAAUUGCCAGCUAGCAGGCCUCCCAUUCUUCAGCCCCUCAGGCUCCACAUGUCACCAGAGUUAUAAUCCUAAAACGUAUCUUUCAUCAUAUCUUCACCAAACUCCAAGCAGCUCAUUGGCGUUAAACUCCUCCAUCGUCUGGCCCACUCAACCUCCCUGACCUUAUCAUGCUCUGUUCUUUAGCCAGCCCUCCAUGCCAGCCGGGUUGGUCAAUGUACUGCUCACGACAUGGACAUUGUGACCAUCGACCUCCAAGUCAUUACCCUUAAUCUAGGUCUUUGUCACCCCUUUCCCCUCAGUUUUCCAGAACCUUCCAUCAUUUAAGGCCAGCUCUCUGAAGUGGUAUGCCCUGCUUCUGUGUUCCCACAGCACCCCGUUUUCCCCAUCACAGACCCCAUGACUGUGUGCAGUAACUCUUGCCUGCUCUCUUCAUCUCUCCCACUGGUCAGUGAGUUUCUUCCAGAUAGGGGUUGUGUUUGGCCAAUGUUCCCAAUAUUGCCUGGAAGUUAGUAUGUGCUUGGAUACUUAAAUAUUUAUUGGAUAACUGAAGUUUUCUCUGACAAUUAUAGUGCAUGCCCCCUCUGGGCCUGUAUUUCCCCGAACUUCUAUUAUAUUUAUUGUUUCUACCAGGGACCGAUAAUCAGAAUUACUGGAAGAGUUUUAUAAAAUACAAAUUCUCAGAGCUCUAUCCCAGCUCUACUGCAUCAGGAUCUAGAGGGAUGGGCACCAGAAUAUGUAUUUCUACAAAGUUCCCUAGAUGUUUUUGAUAACCUAGUUUGCUUUAUAUCUCAAACUUUUUUGUCUUGGGGCCACUUUACACUCUUAAAAAUCACUGAAAUAUCUAAAGAGUUUUUGUUGAUGUGCGUUGUAGUUAUUAAUGUUAACCAAACUAAAAUUACAAUGGAUAAAUGACAAAAUAUUUAUAUAUUAAUUCAUUCAAAGUAACAAUAAUAGAUCCAUUAAAUGUUAACAUAAAUGACACAUUCUUUUUUGUUUGUGUGUUUAUUGAAUUUUAUUUUAUUUAUUUUUUGUACAGCAGGUUCUUAUUAGUUAUCUAUUUUAUACAUAUUAGUGUAUACAUGUCUAUCCCAACCUCCCAAUUCAUCCCACCACCACCACCCCACCACUUUCUCCCCUUGGUGUCCAUACGUUUGUUCUCUACAUCUGCGAAUGACACAUUCUUAAAUAAAAAAUGUUUUCCUAAACAA